AGAGUUUGAUCAUGGCUCAGGAUGAACGCUGGCGGUAUGCCUAACACAUGCAAGUUGAACGGAAGCUUUCCAAGCUUUAGUAGCGGACGGGUGAGUAACGCGUGAGAAUUUACCUCUAGGAGGGGAACAACAGUUAGAAAUGACUGCUAAUGCCCCAUAUGCUUUAAUAGUGAAAUGGAUUUAUUCGCCUGGAGAGAAGCUCGCGUCUGAUUAGCUAGUUGGUGAGGUAAUGGCUCACCAAGGCGACGAUCAGUAGCUGGUUUGAGAGGAUGAUCAGCCACACUGGAACUGAGACACGGUCCAGACUCCUACGGGAGGCAGCAGUGGGGAAUUUUCUGCAAUGGGCGAAAGCCUGACAGAGCAAUACCGCGUGAGGGAUGAAGGCUCGUGGGUCGUAAACCUCUUUUAUCAGGGAGGAAGUUCUGACGUGUACCUGAUGAAUAAGCAUCGGCUAACUCCGUGCCAGCAGCCGCGGUAAGACGGAGGAUGCAAGUGUUAUCCGGAAUCACUGGGCGUAAAGCGUCUGUAGGUGGUUUAGUAAGUCUAUUGUUAAAUCUUGAGGCUCAACUUCAAAUCAGCAAUGGAAACUGCUAGACUCGAGUAUGGUAGAGGUAAGGGGAAUUUCCAGUGGAGCGGUGAAAUGCGUAGAUAUUGGAAAGAACACCGAUGGCGAAGGCACCUUACUGGGCCAUUACUGACACUCAGAGACGAAAGCUAGGGUAGCAAAUGGGAUUAGAUACCCCAGUAGUCCUAGCAGUAAACGAUGGAUACUAGAUGUUGCCCGUAUCAACCCGUGCAGUGUCAAAGCUAACGCGUUAAGUAUCCCGCCUGGGAAGUAUGCUCGCAAGAGUGAAACUCAAGGAAUUGACGGGGGCCCGCACAGCGU
rnacentral:rRNA from 1 species